rnacentral:tRNA from 1 species
GCCCGGAUGGUGGAACUGGUAGACACGCUAGCUUCAGGUGCUAGUGCUUUCGAGCAUGCAGGUUCAAGUCCUGUUCCGGGCACCA